rnacentral:rRNA from 1 species
GGACUACUGGGGUAUCUAAUCCUGUUCGCUCCCCACGCUUUCGCUCCUCAGCGUCAGAACAGGCCCAGAGAACCGCCUUCGCCACCGGUGUUCCUCCCGAUAUCUGCGCAUUUCACCGCUACACCGGGAAUUCCGUUCUCCCCUACCUGCCUCUAGCCUGCCCGUAUCCACCGCAGACCUGGAGUUAAGCCCCAAGCUUUCACGACAGACGCGACAAACCACCUACGAGCUCUUUACGCCCAAUAAAUCCGGACAACGCUUGCGCCCUACGUAUUACCGCGGCGGCUGGCAC